rnacentral:rRNA from 1 species
UACAGGCUUAACACAUGCAAGUCGAGGGGCAGCAUGGUCUUAGCUUGCUAAGACUGAUGGCGACCGGCGCACGGGUGAGUAACACGUAUCCAACCUGCCGUCUACUCUUGGACAGCCUUCUGAAAGGAAGAUUAAUACAAGAUGGCAUCAUGAGUCCACAUGUUCACAUGAUUAAAGGUAUUCCGGUAGACGAUGGGGAUGCGUUCCAUUAGAUAGUAGGCGGGGUAACGGCCCACCUAGUCUUCGAUGGAUAGGGGUUCUGAGAGGAAGGUCCCCCACAUUGGAACUGAGACACGGUCCAAACUCCUACGGGAGGCAGCAGUGAGGAAUAUUGGUCAAUGGGCGAGAGCCUGAACCAGCCAAGUAGCGUGAAGGAUGACUGCCCUAUGGGUUGUAAACUUCUUUUAUAAAGGAAUAAAGUCGGGUAUGCAUACCCGUUUGCAUGUACUUUAUGAAUAAGGAUCGGCUAACUCCGUGCCAGCAGCCGCGGUAAUACGGAGGAUCCGAGCGUUAUCCGGAUUUAUUGGGUUUAAAGGGAGCGUAGAUGGAUGUUUAAGUCAGUUGUGAAAGUUUGCGGCUCAACCGUAAAAUUGCAGUUGAUACUGGAUAUCUUGAGUGCAGUUGAGGCAGGCGGAAUUCGUGGUGUAGCGGUGAAAUGCUUAGAUAUCACGAAGAACUCCGAUUGCGAAGGCAGCCUGCUAAGCUGCAACUGACAUUGAGGCUCGAAAGUGUGGGUAUCAAACAGGAUUAGAUACCCUGGUAGUCCACACGGUAAACGAUGAAUACUCGCUGUUUGCGAUAUACAGCAAGCGGCCAAGCGAAAGCGUUAAGUAUUCCACCUGGGGAGUACGCCGGCAACGGUGAAACUCAAAGGAAUUGACGAGGGCCCGCACAAGCGGAGGAACAUGUGGUUUAAUUCGAUGAUACGCGAGGAACCUUACCCGGGCUUAAAUUGCAGAUGAAUUACGGUGAAAGCCGUAAGCCGCAAGGCAUCUGUGAAGGUGCUGCAUGGUUGUCGUCAGCUCGUGCCGUGAGGUGUCGGCUUAAGUGCCAUAACGAGCGCAACCCUUGUUGUCAGUUACUAACAGGUCCUGCUGAGGACUCUGACAAGACUGCCAUCGUAAGAUGUGAGGAAGGUGGGGAUGACGUCAAAUCAGCACGGCCCUUACGUCCGGGGCUACACACGUGUUACAAUGGGGGGUACAGAGGGCCGCUACCACGCGAGUGGAUGCCAAUCCCCAAAACCUCUCUCAGUUCGGACUGGAGUCUGCAACCCGACUCCACGAAGCUGGAUUCGCUAGUAAUCGCGCAUCAGCCACGGCGCGGUGAAUACGUUCCCGGGCCUUGUACACACCGCCCGUCAAGCCAUGGGAGCCGGGGGUACCUGAAGUGCGUAACCGCGAGGAGCGCCCUAGGGUAAAACUGGUGACUGGGGCU